AUUACCUCCAAACUGGCAGGGUCAUUCGUUGCCCAUAUUUUCAAUAUCAAAAGACAGGACUUUCUCAAGUUUACCAAACUGCAAUACCAGGAACCUCAUAACAAAGCACCUUUAAAUGUUACAAGUGAUCAGGUGGUUCUCAAAAAUCAGGUCACCAUCAGUAAACAUUUAUAUAAUAAAAAAAAGCUUUAUUUGCCGAGAUUAUAAACCUUUAAUUAGCACAACGGACUGCAAGUGGGUGUGGAUAAAUAUGACUUUGAUUUUGGUCUGUCCAUACCAUCUACAGUGGACUGCAAGUGGGUGUGGAUAAAUAUGACUUUGAUUUUGGUCUGUCCAUACCAUCUACAGUUUUGUGCCUACCUUACUCCCCCCUCCAUUUUUAAAAUUUUUUUACACAAAUGUUCCACCCCUUCAUGACUCACAGAAAAUACAAUCUAUUUGAACAUUGGAGUACUGGAAUGGUGAAAAUGGUCCCAGGUUUCAGGGAUCGCCAUCCUAUGGAAAAGGAGUUAGUGAUAUUUUAAAAGCCAAAAUUAAAACCUAGCAAAUUCAACAGCUUAAAAUACUUUAAAACCCUUUUCUGAC